rnacentral:lncRNA from 1 species
GAAGGAGGGUCAUGUUUGCUGUAAACGGGCCAAUUGUUGGGUGUAGGUUCUCUGUGUACUUUGGACUUUUAAGAUAUCCCAGAAGGACUGAAAGUUCAGAUCUGCGCUUUUGAAAUCUCUUUGCUGCACUGUCUCCUCUGAGGGGAGGCUAGAACUGGGAAUUAACUUGCAAAUAUUGCUUUGAAAUAAUUACUGUUCAGUCAUGGUGAAAACAACCUGUUUUGUGAGCUCUAUGGUCCUAUGGGAGUUCUACUCUACUUCAUAUGCAGACCUAUUCGAUCUCCUUCUUCUCCCUCCAGAACAAAACUCCAUGUGGCUGGGGCUCUGCCUCAAGAAGAGAAGAGGCGAACAUAUGGUUCAUUUGAUCAUCAUCAUCAUCAUCAUCAUCAUCAUCAUCAUCAUCAUCAUCACCACCACCAUUUUUACCAGCAUUUACGUAGAGCUUUAGAGCUUGCAAAGUGAUUUAUAUGUUAACUCUACUGAUUAUUAGUCAUCUGGAU